AAUCUAACAUCAGAAAGUCUAACAAUUGAGAAAUCAAAGUAAGUGAAGUUGGUAUUGUUUGAAAGGUGAAUCAAAGAGUUAAGUAUCAAUCUCUAGGUGAGAUUUGAGUUGAGUUUCUGGAAUGAAUAUAGGUAGCUCAGUCUUGGGGGUUGCCCUUAAAGCUCUAAUGAAUAUUCAAUCUCACUUAGAGAAGAGUAGUUCAUGUGGUGAAGAGCN
rnacentral:lncRNA from 1 species